rnacentral:rRNA from 1 species
UGCCUUAGUAACGGCGAGUGAAGCGGCAAAAGCUCAAAUUUGAAAUCUGGUACCUUCGGUGCCCGAGUUGUAAUUUGGAGAGGGCAACUUUGGGGCCGUUCCUUGUCUAUGUUCCUUGGAACAGGACGUCAUAGAGGGUGAGAAUCCCGUGUGGCGAGGAGUGCGGUUCUUUGUAAAGUGCCUUCGAAGAGUCGAGUUGUUUGGGAAUGCAGCUCUAAGUGGGUGGUAAAUUCCAUCUAAAGCUAAAUAUUGGCGAGAGACCGAUAGCGAACAAGUACAGUGAUGGAAAGAUGAAAAGAACUUUGAAAAGAGAGUGAAAAAGUACGUGAAAUUGUUGAAAGGGAAGGGCAUUUGAUCAGACAUGGUGUUUUGUGCCCUCUGCUCCUUGUGGGUAGGGGAAUCUCGCAUUUCACUGGGCCAGCAUCAGUUUUGGUGGCAGGAUAAAUCCAUAGGAAUGUAGCUUGCCUCGGUAAGUAUUAUAGCCUGUGGGAAUACUGCCAGCUGGGACUGAGGACUGCGACGUAAGUCAAGGAUGCUGGCAUAAUGGUUAUAUGCCGCCCGUCUUGAACACGGACCA